UGAACCUCACUUGUGGGGGGAUUAGUGGCGAACGGGUGAGUAACACGUGAGUAACCUGCCCUUGACUCUGGGAUAAGCCUGGGAAACCGGGUCUAAUACUGGAUACGACCUUCUGGCGCAUGCCAUGUUGGUGGAAAGCUUUUGUGGUUUUGGAUGGACUCGCGGCCUAUCAGCUUGUUGGUGGGGUAAUGGCCUACCAAGGCGACGACGGGUAGCCGGCCUGAGAGGGUGACCGGCCACACUGGGACUGAGACACGGCCCAGACUCCUACGGGAGGCAGCAGUGGGGAAUAUUGCACAAUGGGCGCAAGCCUGAUGCAGCGACGCCGCGUGAGGGAUGAAGGCCUUCGGGUUGUAAACCUCUUUCAGUAGGGAAGAAGCUGGCCUUUUGGGUUGGUGACGGUACCUGCAGAAGAAGCGCCGGCUAACUACGUGCCAGCAGCCGCGGUAAUACGUAGGGCGCAAGCGUUAUCCGGAAUUAUUGGGCGUAAAGAGCUCGUAGGCGGUUUGUCGCGUCUGCCGUGAAAGUCCGGGGCUUAACUCCGGAUCUGCGGUGGGUACGGGCAGACUAGAGUGCAGUAGGGGAGACUGGAAUUCCUGGUGUAG
rnacentral:rRNA from 1 species